AUUGAACGCUGGUGGCAGGCUUAACACAUGCAAGUCGAGCGGAGAUGAGGUGCUUGCACCUUAUCUUAGCGGCGGACGGGUGAGUACUGCUUAGGAAUCUGCCUAUUAGUGGGGGACAACAUUCCGAAAGGAAUGCUAAUACCGCAUACGUCCUACGGGAGAAAGCAGGGGAUCUUCGGACAUUGCGCUAAUAGAUGAGCCUAAGUCGGAUUAGCUAGUUGGUGGGGUAAAGGCCUACCAAGGCGACGAUCUGUAGCGGGUCUGCGAGGAUGAUCCGCCACACUGGGACUGAGACACGGCCCAGACUCCUACGGGAGGCAGCAGUGGGGAAUAUUGGACAAUGGGGGGAACCCUGAUCCAGCCAUGCCGCGUGUGUGAAGAAGGCCUUAUGGUUGUAAAGCACUUUAAGCGAGGAGGAGGCUACUGAGACUAAUACUCUUGGAUAGUGGACGUUACUCGCAGAAUAAGCACCGGCUAACUCUGUGCCAGCAGCCGCUGUAACAC
rnacentral:rRNA from 1 species